rnacentral:rRNA from 1 species
AGUGAACGCUGGCGGUAGGCCUAACACAUGCAAGUCGAACGGCAGCACAGUAAGAGCUUGCUCUUACGGGUGGCGAGUGGCGGACGGGUGAGGAAUACAUCGGAAUCUACUUUUUCGUGGGGGAUAACGUAGGGAAACUUACGCUAAUACCGCAUACGACCUACGGGUGAAAGCAGGGGAUCUUCGGACCUUGCGCGAUUGAAUGAGCCGAUGUCGGAUUAGCUAGUUGGCGGGGUAAAGGCCCACCAAGGCGACGAUCCGUAGCUGGUCUGAGAGGAUGAUCAGCCACACUGGAGCUGAGACACGGUCCAGACUCCUACGGGAGGCAGCAGUGGGUAAUAUUGGACAAUGGGCGCAAGCCUGAUCCAGCCAUACCGCGUGGGUGAAGAAGGCCUUCGGGUUGUAAAGCCCUUUUGUUGGGAAAGAAAAGCAGCAGGUUAAUACCCCGCUGUUCUGACGGUACCCAAAGAAUAAGCACCGGCUAACUUCGU